rnacentral:lncRNA from 1 species
AGCCUCUCGAGCAGCUGGGAUUAUAGGUGUCCGCUACCAUGCCCGGCUAAUUUUUGUAUUUUUUAUGGAGAUGGGGUUUCACCGUGUUGGCCAGGAUGGUCUCGAUCUCCUGACCUCGUGAUCUGCCCGCCUCGGCCUCCCAAAGUGCUGGGAUUACAGGCGUGAGACACCACACCCGGCCUUUUUUUUUUUUUUUUUUUUUUGAGAUAGAGUCUCGCUCUGUCACCCAGACUGGAGUGCAGUGGCGCGAUCUCAGCUCACUGCAAGUUCUGCCUCCCGGGUUCAAGGGAUUCUCCUGCCUCAGCCUCCUGAGUAGCUGGGAUUAUAGGCACCUGCCACCACACCUGGCUAAUUUUUGGAUUUUUACUAGACAGGGUUUCGCCAUGUUGGCCAGGCUGGUCUCGAACUCCUGACCUCGUGAUCUGCCCGCCUCAGCCUCCCAAAGUGCUGGGAUUACAGGCGAGAGCCACUGCGCCCAGGCUUUUGUUGUUGUUGUUGUUUUGGUAGAGACAGGCUUUCACCAUGUUGCCCACGCUGGUCUUGAACUCAUGAACUCAAGCGAUCCACCCGGCUUGGCCUCCCAAAGUGUUGGGAUUACAGGCGUGGGCCACCGCCUUGCCUGGCCUCAAUUAUGUUUAUGAAUGUUGUGAAGUAGAAAUUAAUAUUACCCCUUCAAAUAAACAGGAAGGUGUUAGCAUACCACACGGGUCCAAAGUGAGUAUGGUUCAGAUUGGGAACAAAGCUGUGUGGCAGUAGCUGACCUAAGCCUGGGAUCAAAUCUAAAGGUUGCCUGAGAGAAACAGGGACUGCGUAGGAACAGGUCUUCCAUGAACACAGGAAAAUGAACAAACUUAGUGCUGCAGACAAGGAGGAAUGUGGCCCAGCGCUGCUUGGUAAGUUCAUGGUCCAAGGGAGUCUUUGCACUUCUGUGGCUUUUUUUUUUUUUUUUUUGAGACGGAGUCUCACCCCUGUCGCCCAGGCUGGAGUGCAGUGGCAGGAUCUUGGCUCACUGCAAGCUCUGCCUCCUGGGUUCACGCCAUUCUCCUGCCUCAGCCUCUCUAGUAGCUGGGACUACAUGCACCUGCCACCACGCCCGGCUAAUUUUUUGUAUUCUUUUAGUAGAGACGGGUUUCACCAUGUUAGCCAGGAUGGUCUCGAUCUC